ACCUGCAGAGCAGAGAGAAAAGAGAGAGAAAAGAGGAAAAAGAAAUGAGGAGAAGCUGAAGUGAGGCUCGCGUCUGUUAGUAUUUUAAGGACUAUUUCCGACGGAACUCAGUCGGUAUUACUUCAUUCGUUGAUAAAGUAUCCUCGACGGACACUCAGUCGAUAUUAAUAGUUCUUCCGUCGAGGUUGUUUUUGGCACUAGAGGGAAACUUUCGCGCCACAGGCAUGGUAUAGGAUCGACUGAAUUCAGUCGAAGUAGUAUUAUUAUCGAG
rnacentral:lncRNA from 1 species